CCCUUAGAUGUUCUGGGCCGCACGCGCGCUACACUGACGAAUGCAACGAGCUUAUAACCUUGGUCGAAAGGUCUGGGUAAUCUCCAAAUUUCGUCGUGAUGGGGAUAGAUUAUUGCAAUUAUUAAUCUUCAACGAGGAAUGCCUAGUAAGCGCAAGUCAUCAGCUUGCGUUGAUUACGUCCCUGCCCUUUGUACACACCGCCCGUCGCUCCUACCGAUUGAAUGGUCCGGUGAAGCGUUCGGACCGUGGCCUUUGGACGGUUCGCCGUCUGUUGGCUGCGGGAAGUUCGUUAAACCUUAUCAUUUAGAGGAAGGAGAAGUCGUANCA
rnacentral:rRNA from 1 species